AACGAACGCUGGCGGCAUGCCUAACACAUGCAAGCCGAACGAGACCUUCGGGUCUAGUGGCGCACGGGUGCGUAACGCGUGGGAACCUGCCCUUAGGUUCGGAAUAACUCCCCGAAAGGGGUGCUAAUACCGGAUAAUGUCUUCGGACCAAAGAUUUAUCGCCUUUGGAUGGGCCCGCGUUGGAUUAGCUAGUUGGUAGGGUAAAAGCCUACCAAGGCGACGAUCCAUGGCUGGUCUGAGAGGAUGAUCAGCCACACUGGGACUGAGACACGGCCCAGACUCCUACGGGAGGCAGCAGUGGGGAAUAUUGGACAAUGGGCGAAAGCCUGAUCCAGCAAUGCCGCGUGAGUGAUGAAGGCCUUAGGGUUGUAAAGCUCUUUUACCCGGGAUGAUAAUGACAGUACCGGGAGAAUAAGCUCCGGCUAACUCCGUG
rnacentral:rRNA from 1 species